rnacentral:rRNA from 1 species
UGCAUAUCAAUAAGCGGAGGAAAUGAAACUAACAAGGAUUCCCCUAGUAACGGCGAGUGAAGCGGGAAGAGCUCAAAUUUGAAAUCUGGUAGCCUUCGGUUGCCCGAGUUGUAAUCUAGAGAAGUGUUUUCCGUGCCGGCCCAUGUACAAGUCCCUUGGAACAGGGCGUCAUAGAGGGUGAGAAUCCCGUCCUUGACAUGGACCCCCGGUGCUUUGUGAUACACUUUCAACGAGUCGAGUUGUUUGGGAAUGCAGCUCAAAAUGGGUGGUGAAUUCCAUCUAAAGCUAAAUAUUGGCGAGAGACCGAUAGCGAACAAGUACCGUGAGGGAAAGAUGAAAAGCACUUUGGAAAGAGAGUUAAACAGUACGUGAAAUUGUUGAAAGGGAAACGAUUGAAGUCAGUCAUGCUCUUAGGAUUCAGCCGUUCUGCGGUGUAUUUCCUUUGAGUGGGGUCAACAUCAGUUUUGAUCGAUGGAUAAAGGCACGAGGAAGGUAGCACUCUCGGGUGAACUUAUAGCCUCGCGUCAUAUACAUUGAUUGGGACUGAGGAACGCAG